rnacentral:rRNA from 1 species
AGAGUUUGAUCCUGGCUCAGGAUGAACGCUGGCGGCGUGGAUAAGGCAUGCAAGUCGAGUGGGUUUAGACCCACGGCAAACGGGUUAGUAAUGCAUAGGAACUUUCCUUAAAGUCGUGAAUAAUCCGGAGAAAUCCGGAAUAACACACGAUGUGCUCUACGGAGUAAAGAUUUAUCGCUUUAAGAGAGGCCUAUGUCCUAUCAGCUUGUUGGUGAGGUAAUAGCUCACCAAGGCUAUGACGGGUAGGGGGCGUGAGAGCGUGACCCCCAACAUUGGGACUGAGACACUGCCCAAACACCUACGGGUGGCUGCAGUCGAGAAUAUUCCACAAUGGACGAAAGUCUGAUGGAGCGACGCCGCGUGCGGGAUGAAGGUCUUCGGAUUGUAAACCGCUUUUGUAAGGGAAGAAUUUCGAUGACGGUACCUUGCGAAUAAGAGGUUACUAACUCUGUGCCAGCAGUAGCGGUAAUACAGAGACCUCAAGCGUUAUCCGGAUUUAUUGGGCGUAAAGCGCAAGCAGGCGGACAUAUUAGUCAGAUGUCAAAUCCUCCGACUCAAUCGGAGAACUGCAUUUGAAACGGUAUGUCUAGAGGGAGUGAGAGAUCUAUGGAACUCAUGGUGUAGCAGUGAAAUGCGUUUAUAUCAUGAGGAACACCAAAGGCGAAGGCAUUAGAUUGGCACUUUCCUGACGCUCAGUUGCGAAAGCGUGGGUAGCGAAUGGGAUUAGAUACCCCAGUAGUCCACGCUGUAAACGAUGUAUAUUAGGCAUUGGAAGUAUCGACCCUUUCAGUGUCGUAGCUAACGCGUUAAAUAUACCGCCUGGGAAGUACGAGCGCAAGCUUAAAACUCAAAGGAAUAGACGGGGAUCCGCACAAGUGGAGGAUCAUGUGGUUUAAUUCGACGGUAAGCGAGAAACCUCACCAGGGCUUGAAACCUAGCUGCAUGUCCCAGAAAUGGGAAGGCCUUCGAGGGUGCUAGGCAGGUGCUGCAUGGUUGUCGUCAGCUCGUGUCGUAAGAUGUUCCGUUAAGUCGGGAAACGAGCGCAACCCCUGUCGUGUGUUAUAUGUGUCACACGAGACUGCCCAGACUAGAGAACGUGAAGCGCGUAGCGCGUAACCUGAAACGUUAUGUGUUCUACGUUGUACGCUUCGCGAAUUCCAGUCUGGGAGGAAGGAGGGGAUGACGUCAAAUCAGCAUGGCCCUUUGACGCCCUGGGCGACACACGUGAUACAAUGGCCGGUACAGAGGGUUGCCAAACCGCGAGGUGGAGCUAAUCCCAAAAAGCCGGUCUCAGUUCGGAUAGGAGUCUGCAACUCGACUCCUUGAAGUCGGAUUCACUAGUAAUCGGGAAUCAGAACGUCCCGGUGAAUACGUUCUCGGAUCUUGUACUCACCGCCCGUCACACCAAGAGAGUCGGUAACACCCGAAGGCCCCGGGUUAAAUCGGGGACAACGGUGGGAUCGAUAAUAAGGGUGAAGUCGUAACAAGGCAUCCGUAGCGGAAGCUGUGGAUG